UACGUAGGUGGCAAGCGUUGUCCGGAUUUAUUGGGCGUAAAGCGAGCGCAGGCGGAAAGAUAAGUCAGAUGUGAAAGCCCUCGGCUUAACCGAGGAAUAGCAUCGGAAACUGUCUUUCUUGAGUGCAGAAGAGGAGAGUGGAACUCCAUGUGUAGCGGUGGAAUGCGUAGAUAUAUGGAAGAACACCAGUGGCGAAAGCGGCUCUCUGGUCUGUAACUGACGCUGAGGCUCGAAAGCAUGGGUAGCGAACAGG
rnacentral:rRNA from 1 species